rnacentral:lncRNA from 1 species
GUUUUUGAUCAUUACAAAUAAAGCUGUUAGGUACCUUUGUGUGUGGGAACACAUGUUGUGUGAACAUAUGCUUUUAUUUCUGUUGAGGUAUAAUUCACCUAUUGUCAAAUUCACUUUGAAGGUGUACAGAGUUGUAUGAAUUUUGACAAAUACAUAUAGUCAUUUAUCUACCAUCACAAUCAAGAUAUGGAAUCUUUCUAUUGUAGCAGGAUGAGUUGCAGAAAAACUCCUCAGACACCGGAUUAAAGAAGGAAGAGGUUUUUUAUUUGUCCGGGAGCGUCGGCAGACUCGCGUCUUAAGAGCCGAGCUCCCCGAAAAAGAAAUUCCUAGCCCUUUUAAGGCCUUACAACUCUAAGGAGUCUACGUGAAAGAGUCAUAAUAGAUCAAACAAAUUAAGAAUUCAGAGCCCAAUCCUAACUUCAAGCCAAGAAGUAAAAAAAGGAAGAAAAAAUCAAGACGCUCAGAACAGAACUCCAGCAAUAUUGAACCCAGGAAAAACGUCUUCACAAAUACAAAAGUGUUUCAAGGAAAAAUUGAAGUCACUCCUGCCCACAUCCACUGCCCAGUGUAACCGCCCUUAAAGAUUGCUGUGUAUUUGUGUACUAAUUUUUCUGUGUUUAUAAAAUCAUUCAUAUAUUUAUUAAUAACAUGUUUAGAAGAAAUCUCUGCAUUAACCUCAGGGCACACAGCUGUCUUUGAUCGCCCCCAACUCCUCAGAAUGUCCUGCCUCCAUUUCACUCUCCCACAGCUGACUUUCUCCCAUGCUUAGGCCCCCCAAGAGCACCUGCUGAAAAACUACUUCCAACCUUAAGCUCAGGCCCUGACUCACAGCCCUUUAUUCUAACAGAGCCCCUAGGUGUUUGGGCAGAGGUAGGUGGGUAUUACGAGGGAAGCGGGAGGAGGACAGUGAGGCCCCUUAAGUUCUUUGUCCUGGCCAGGCGGCUGCCCUCCUGCAUUACAGGUCUCCACAGGAUAGGUCCCAAUUCCCAACUACUUUCAAUUGGUGGGGUGUGGAUUGGCAGGAUGGGUUAAUGCUCUGCCACAACUUUCUCACUUUAUAAUGGGAGCUGUAUGGUAAAUUCACCUGAUAGUAAUAACUUAAGCAUAUCCUGAGAAUGAUCCUGUAUGGCAGACGCACCUGAAUCCUGAAUGUGUGUUUGAAGUUCUGAGCUAAGAAAUCUGGGGGUGGCCAACACAGAGAUUCAUUUCUUAUUUAUGAAGAAGCUGUGAACCCCCAGCCGUCCCGUCCCAUGGAAUGUGGGCUAUACAGGGGUUCAAGGCCCUGUAUUUUGGGUUAAAUGAAGACUGCCAGGUGGAGGUUGUUAGGGGGAGGCUGUGAAGUGAAAAUACUAUAUAAGGCCGGGCGCGGUGGCUCACACCUGUAAUCCCAGCACUUUGGGAGGCCGAGGUGGGCGGAUCAUGGGGUCAAGAGAUCGAGACCAUCCUGGCCAACAUGGUGAAACCCCGUCUCUACUAAAAAUACAAAAAAGUUAGCUGGGCAUGUUAGCACGUGCGUGUAGUCCCAGCUACUCGGGAGGCUGAGGCAGGAGAAUCGCUUGAACCCAGGAGGUGGAGGUUGCAGUGAGCCGAGACCGCGCCACUGCACUCCAGCCUGGCGACUGAUCGAGACUCCAUCUCAAAAUAAAACCCUCUAUAAAUUGUGUGACUUUAUUUUGCAAGUGGUUGUGGUUCUGUUGUCCAGCCCACUGUCGUUGGGUCUUGUUCCCCAAUUGUAAGCCCUCAAUAAAACCUCAUGUCUC